GACGAACGCUGGCGGCGUGCCUAACACAUGCAAGUCAACUUGACUGAAGGAGCAAUCUGACAGUAGAGUGGCGCAAGGGUGCGUAACGCGUAAGUAACUUGCCCCAAGGUAAGGAAUAACGUCGAGAAAUCGGCGCUAAUACCUCAUAAUGCAGCGGAUCCGCAUGGAUAUGUUGUUAAAGGUUUACCGCCUUGGGAUGGGCUUGCGUCUGAUUAGCUAGUUGGUGUGGUAACGGCACACCAAGGCUACGAUCAGUAACUGGUCUGAGAGGAUGAUCAGUCACACUGGAACUGAGACACGGUCCAGACUCCUACGGGAGGCAGCAGUGAGGAAUAUUGGGCGAAUGCUCGAAGAAGU
rnacentral:rRNA from 1 species